UGUGCAUAUAUAAUAUAUGCAUAUACUAUAUAUGCACGAUACAGCGCGGAUGUCCAUGCGUGUUCCGCGCUCCACUCGGACGGUGAUUUCUGUUGCAUUGCGCGCUCACGUCCGCUUUUGAUGACGUAUCGUGCUCAGGCGAUUCGUCGACGCGUCGUUUGUGGCAGCCCUAGUAUCAACCCUGAGAGGGGAACAAAGACCAGCCAGGAGAAAGUGAUGUUCCAGAGGUCAGGAAGCGGCUCCAGAAAAAGACAUCUACUGUAAAUCCCCAUGUAGUCACCUUUAUAAAAAGACUGAUGGACUCUGAGUGGGACUUCAUGUAAACCCACAGCUCCUCUCCACACAGAACCUCAUUUUCACAAAGCAAAAGCCCAGUCUGCAACCAGAUGUUCAUGUUGUCAUUUUAAGGAGAGUUUGAUGGCCUUCUGCUGGGUGACAGGGGUUACCAUGCCAACCCAGGCUGAUGACCUCAUACCCUGACCCUGAACCAGGCCCCCAACAGAACUUCAACCGGGCUCAUUGCAGGAUGAGAGCCCGGGUGGAAAUGAUCAUAGACCUGCUGAAAGCCUGUUUCCAGUGUCUACAUCACCUCAGGGUGACUCCUGAGAGGCCUGUGAUAUUAUUGUGGCAUGUGUUGUUCUUCAUAAUAUUGCCACUAUUAGAGGAGAGCAACACUCUGCCCUACAAACUGAAGACCCAGAUGAUGACCUCAUCCACCUGCCAGCUAUCAGGACAGCAGAGCAGUCAGAGACACCAUAUGCAAUAAUCACUGCAGAGAUUAAGUCUCCAUCAUCACCACCACAGCAGUGAAAUAAACACGACACACAUUUCA